UACUGGGUGGCGAGUGGCGCACGGGUGCGUAACGCGUAUGCACUACCUAUAACUGGGGAACAACCCCGAGAAAUCGGGGCUAAUACCGCAUAACAUCAUGAAGUGGCAUCACUUUAUGAUCAAACCUCAGGGGGUUAUAGAUGGGCAUGCGUGACAUUAGCUAGUUGGUGAGGUAACGGCUCACCAAGGCUACGAUGUCUAGGGGGUCUGAGAGGAUGAUCCCCCAACUGGUACUGAGACACGGACCAGACUCCUACGGGAGGCAGCAGUAAGGAAUAUUGGACAAUGGGCGCAAGCCUGAUCCAGCCAUGCCGCGUGCAGGAUGAAGGUGUUAUGCAUCGUAAACUGCUUUUAUACAAGAAUAAACUCCUUCACGUGUGAAGGAUUGAAUGUACUGUAAGAAUAAGCAUCGGUAACUUCGUGCCAGCAGCCGCGGUAAUACGAAGGAUGCAAGCGUUAUCCGGAUUUAUGGGUUAAAGGGUGCGUAGGCGGCUUUUUAAGGUCAGUGGUGAAAGCCCGAAGCUUAACUUCGGACUGCCAUUGAUACUGGAUAAGCUUGGAGUACAUUUUGGAAGUGGGGCGGNAAUGNUGUCGUGGUAA
rnacentral:rRNA from 1 species